GAUGAACGCUGGCGGCGUGCUUAACACAUGCAAGUCGAGCGAAGCACUUAAGUGGAUCUCUUCGGAUUGAAACUUAUUUGACUGAGCGGGCGACGGGUGAAGGUACGCGUGGUAACCUGCCUCAUACAGGGGGAUAACAGUUAGAAAUGACUGCUAAUACCGCAUAAGACCACAGCACCGCAUGGUGCAGGGGUAAAAACUCCGGUGGUAUGAGAUGGACCCGCGUCUGAUUAGGUAGUUGGUGGGGUAACGGCCUACCAAGCCGACGAUCAGUAGCCGACCUGAGAGGGUGACCGGCCACAUUGGGACUGAGACACGGCCCAA
rnacentral:rRNA from 1 species